AUUGAACGCUGGCGGCAUGCCUUACACAUGCAAGUCGAACGGUAACAGGUCUUCGGAUGCUGACGAGUGGCGAACGGGUGAGUAAUACAUCGGAACGUGCCUAGUAGUGGGGGAUAACUACUCGAAAGAGUGGCUAAUACCGCAUGAGAUCUACGGACGAAAGCAGGGGAUCGCAAGACCUUGUGCUACUAGAGCGGCCGAUGGCAGAUUAGGUAGUAGGUGGGAUAAAAGCUUACCAAGCCGACGAUCUGUAGCUGGUCUGAGAGGACGAUCAGCCACACUGGGACUGAGACACGGCCCAGACUCCUACGGGAGGCAGCAGUGGGGAAUUUUGGACAAUGGGCGCAAGCCUGAUCCAGCAAUGCCGCGUGCAGGAUGAAGGCCUUCGGGUUGUAAACUGCUUUUGUACGGAACGAAAAGCCCUGGGUUAAUACCCUGGGGUCAUGACGGUACCGUAAGAAUAAGCACCGGCUAACUACGUGCCAGCAGCCGCCGUAA
rnacentral:rRNA from 1 species